CCCAUCGGUGAUAGCACAUUGAAUGCAGCAGUUGCCAAUGGAUCACUGAUGUUGAAGCAACGUAGCGCAUGGUUAGUAUUUGGAUGAGUGACCACCCGGAUAAUCCCAUACUAAUGGCU
rnacentral:rRNA from 1 species